rnacentral:rRNA from 1 species
CUGCUGCCUCCCGUAGGAGUCUGGUCCGUGUCUCAGUACCAGUGUGGGGGACCUUCCUCUCAGAACCCCUACGCAUCGUCGCCUUGGUGGGCCGUUACCCCGCCAACUAGCUAAUGCGACGCAUGACCAUCCGUAGCCGGAAUCGCUUCCUUUAAACCCGAGGAGAUGCCUCCUCGGGUUGUUACGCGGUAUUAGACGGAAUUUCUUCCGCUUAUCCCCCUGCUACGGGCAGGUUUCAUACGUGUUACUCACCCGUGCGCCGGUCGCCGGCGGGAGUUA